GGGCGUUUAGCUCAGCUGGCUAGAGUACCACAUUGACAUUGUGGGGGUCACUGGUUCAAGUCCAGUAACGCCCAC
rnacentral:tRNA from 1 species